GACGAACGCUGGCGGCGUGCUUAACACAUGCAAGUCGAACGGAAAGGCCCUGCUUUUGUGGGGUGCUCGAGUGGCGAACGGGUGAGUAACACGUGAGUAACCUGCCCUUGACUUUGGGAUAACUUCAGGAAACUGGGGCUAAUACCGGAUAGGAGCUCCUGCUGCAUGGUGGGGGUUGGAAAGUUUCGGCGGUUGGGGAUGGACUCGCGGCUUAUCAGCUUGUUGGUGGGGUAGUGGCUUACCAAGGCUUUGACGGGUAGCCGGCCUGAGAGGGUGACCGGCCACAUUGGGACUGAGAUACGGCCCAGACUCCUACGGGAGGCAGCAGUGGGGAAUAUUGCACAAUGGGCGGAAGCCUGAUGCAGCGACGCCGCGUGCGGGAUGACGGCCUUCGGGUUGUAAACCGCUUUCGCCUGUGACGAAGCGUGAGUGACGGUAAUGGGUAAAGAAGCACCGGCUAACUACGU
rnacentral:rRNA from 1 species